GACGAACGCUGGCGGCGUGCUUAACACAUGCAAGUCGAACGGCAAGGCCCUGCUUUUGUGGGGUGCUCGAGUGGCGAACGGGUGAGUAACACGUGAGUAACCUGCCCUUGACUUUGGGAUAACUUCAGGAAACUGGGGCUAAUACCGGAUAGGAGCUCCUGCUGCAUGGUGGGGGUUGGAAAGUUUCGGCGGUUGGGGAUGGACUCGCGGCUUAUCAGCUUGUUGGUGGGGUAGUGGCUUACCAAGGCUUUGACGGGUAGCCGGCCUGAGAGGGUGACCGGCCACAUUGGGACUGAGGUACGGCCCAGACUCCUACAGGAGGCAGCAGGGGGGAAUAUUGCACAAUGGGCGGAAGCCUGAUGCAGCAACGCCGCGUGCGGGAUGACGGCCUUCGGGUUGUAAACCGCUUUCGCCUGUGACGAAGCGUGAGUGACGGUAAUGGGUAAAGAAGCACCGGCUAACUACGUG
rnacentral:rRNA from 1 species